GCUGGCCGCGGUGGCGCGUGCCUGUAGUCCCAGCCACUCAGGAGGCUGAGGUGGGAGGAUCGCUUGAGCCCAGGAGUUCUGUGCUGUAGUGCGCUAUGCCGAUCGGGUGUCCGCACUAAGUUCAGCAUUAUGGUGACCUCCCGGGAGCGGGGGACCACUUGCCUAAGGAGGGGUGAUCCAGCCCAGGUCGGAAACAGAGCAGGUCAAAACUCCCGUGCGGAUCUGUAGUGGAAUCGCGCCUGUGAAUAGCCACUUCACUCCAGCCUGGGCAACAUAUCGAGGCCCCGUCUCA
ensembl:misc_RNA Metazoa_SRP Metazoan signal recognition particle RNA